GACAGAGGGGGGCAAGCGUUGCUCGGAAUUACUGGGCGUAAAGGGCGCGUAGGCGGGAUGGCAAGUCGGUCGUGAAAUCCCUCGGCUCAACUGAGGAUCGUCGAUCGAUACUGCCGUUCUUGAGGAUUGCAGAGGAGACUGGAAUUCCCGGUGUAGCGGUGAAAUGCGCAGAUAUCAGGAGGAACACCUAUGGCGAAGGCAGCUCGCUGGGACGGUACUGACGCUGAGGCGCGAAAGCGUGGGGAGCGAACAGG
rnacentral:rRNA from 1 species